AUGGCUUCGUGUGCUGAACCCUCUAAGCCCUCUGCCCCCGCCUCCUGCCAGGGUCCCACCGCUUGAGGACUUCAAGGUGCUGGAUGGGGUGGAGGAUGCAGAGGGCGAGGAGGAAGAUGACCUGAAAGAGCUGCCCCCGCUGGGCAUGGGACAGCCCCCGGUGGAAGAGGCUGAACAGCCUGGGACAUUGGCCCUAGAGUUCCUCGCUGCCAUGGAGCCUGAGCCCGCCCCGUCCCUGGCCCCGGAAGCAGCUGUUGAGGAAGAAGACGCUUGUCCCAGGGCCGCCGGGUUCAAGCCGCCCAGUCAAGGGCCAGGUGGUUACCGUGCAUUUUGCAGACGUCGUGAGAGAACAGCAUGUGGGAGCUGGUGUUCACCUUGAACAACUGUGACGUCAUCCAGGCCCUGGAUCUUAGUGUCUAACUCACGGACGUGGGGGAGACGGCCAUGGUCACUGCUGACUCCAUCUACUGCUAUAGCCCCCAGGGCAGGAGCCCAUACAUCCACCGCACGCGGCCCUGUGCCUGGAGGUGACCCCGAAGACGGCCGUGGACUGGCCUGACCUGGAGAUGCUCACAGGGCAGGAGCGCAUGGCCCUGGCCAACCGGAAGCAGGAGUGCGGCAGUGCCCACUACCAGUGGGCGGACUUCAUCCUGGCCGCCAACUCCUAUGACCUUGCCAUCAAGACCAUCACCUCCAGCGCCAAAGUGGACAUGACGUUCGAGGAGGAGGAGCAGCUCCUGUAGUUGAAGGUGAAGUGUCUGAACAACCUGGCGGCCUCGCAGCUGAAGCUCGACCACUACUGCGCAGCCCUGUGCUCCUGCAGCCUCGUUGGAGCACCAUCCAGACAAUAUCAAGGCUGUCCUCCACAGAGGCAAGAUACUGGCCCAGCAGGGUGAGUACAGUGAGGCCAUCUCCAUCCUGAGGGCAGCCCUGAAGCUGGAACCUUCCAACAAGACGAUCCACGCAGAACUCUUGAAGCUGGUGAAGAAGCACGCGGCACAGCGGAGCACGGAGACCGCCCUGUACUGGAAAAUGCUGGGCGACCCCAGCUGGCUGCCCGCCAAGUGCCCCGGCAAGGGUGCCUGGUCCAGCCCAUGGAAGUGGCUGUUUGGGGCGACUGCUGUUGCCUUGGGGGGUGUGGCGCUCUCUGUGGUCACUCCUGCCAGGAACU
rnacentral:lncRNA from 1 species